CCUCCUCCUCCUCCCUCUAAUGCCUGUAACUCACAUCCGAGGCUGGGCGAGGAAUCCGGAGGGGAGAUUUUCCUCAUGCUCACGGUUGUUGGAAACUGGAAGAGUGAGAGGAAGGAGGAAGGGGAUUUGUGGCGCUCUCUACCUACUACAAGACUGACAAGGGGAGGGGGCACCUAAAUUUGCAUCUUUUCUUCGUGGUGAUUGAGAACUGCAGGUUCAAACCGAUCCCACUGAGCACUGGCGAUUGAUUAUAAAAAAAAAUCGACACUGGGAGAAGGGAGGCUCUGUCUUCGGCUGUCAGACUCAAUCUCGGAGGUGGUAUUGGGUGUCUAAGCUGCUGGAUUGCUUUUCGCCCAAAUCAAUGUGGUUUCUUUGGAACAUUUUCAGCAAAGGAACGCAUAUGCUGCAGUGUCUUUGUGGCAAGAGUCUUAAGAAAAACAAGAACCCAACUGGGAAAGCCAGCUGCCAUCAGGUGGGGACACUAGAGGAGCCCCAGGGAGCUCCCAUAUGGCAAGGAACUGAGACCUGCUGCCAACACCCAGGACCAAUUUGCCAUCCAUGAGAGUGGGCCGUCUCGAAAGUGGGAGAAUGUGGUCAGUGUUUCAGCCAGUGCUUGCUGCUGAGGCAGGAGAGAAUAAUUGUGUAAAGAGGGGGCUCCCGCAGUGCAGGACAGGAAGCCACCAUGUGAGCACCACAUCCACGUGCAGGUCGCAGGCUUCAUCAUGUCCUGAAUACCAUGCCUUAGCAUUUUAAGAUUUCAGGUUUCUACUUCUACAUCUCCAGCCCUGAAUACUCAUGGAAUAUCGCUGUACCUAUGACAGGUUGCAUGAUUUUUCCCCCUCUGUGCACUCAAUUUGUGUAUUAUUGUAUCAUAUGACAUUCUGAAUCAAGUGCUGCUAGUACCAAGCUGCUAUCAUCAGCUGAUGCCAAAAAUAUUCGUUAUAACACUUCUCAGCAUGCAAGUGAGAGCACUUCAAAUCACACAGACAGAAUUUCCAGCCAUUGUUCUUUUCUUCUUUGCUUAUUAUACAGCAACAAGAAUCAAAACAAAAGGGGAUUUAUUAGAAAAUAAUGCUUCAGUAAAAUGUUAUAAAACAUGAGGUUUAUUGUUUGUGAAGAUAGAGUGAAAUUCAGUACCACAUUAUAGAUACCACCUCAGAGGCCUAUUUUCCCCUUCUUUUCUCUUUUCUCAAAUGUUUUUCAAGUGGCAUCUUUUUUUCAGUCUUUGAUUACAUUAAGGUGCAAACUAUUUAUCCAUCUGGAAAUAAGCAAUACUGUCAACAGAGAACCAGGAAAUGAAAAGUGCAGCCGGCCAUAUGCGAGUGAAUGCUGAAACUUGGAAGCCAACUGACAAGAUGCCAGGGAUGGCAUGGCAAGGAAGAGAGAGCCUUCAUGGCAAUUUUGAAUACCUGAUCUCUUGCUUUCAUCAUCUUGUCUAGGGGAAGAAACACGGAGCCUGGUAGUUGGGAGGUGAGAGGCAGGAAUGGAUACCAGAGAUGGACAGACAGUGGGGUGGUGAGAAGGGAGCUGCAAUUUGCUAAUCCUUGUAGUACUACCUGUCAAUCAUCUUGCUUUCCUUAAUCAUCGAUCCUGGAGAGACUUUGAGGAAAGGGCUGGUGGAGUUGCGCAGAUGUGAUCUUCAUUUCAGCCUUAUGAAUACA
rnacentral:lncRNA from 1 species